rnacentral:rRNA from 1 species
UGGAUGACCUGCCCUUUAGUGGGGAAUAACCCGGGGAAACUCGGGCUAAUACCGCAUAAGACCGAGAGGUGAAAGCGGGGUCGCAAGAUCUCGUGCUAAUGGAGGGGUCCGCGUUCGAUUAGCUAGUUGGUAGGGUAAUGGCCUACCAAGGCGACGAUCGAUAGCCGGCCUGAGAGGGUGAUCGGCCACACUGGAACUGAGACACGGUCCAGACUCCUACGGGAGGCAG